CUCCUACUACCUCAACAAUAUUCUCAUGGAAAAGUAUUCUUCCCUGAACAACGAUCGUCCAAGAAGAUUUCCAUCCAACAUAUCUCCUCAAAAAGAUUCAGGGGGUCCAUGUAGAGAUUUGUUACCUGGACAAAAUGUGUGAUGCUGAGUUUGGGGUACGAAUGAUCCCAUCGCCCAGCAUCCUCUAUUUAUCAGACAGCUUCCACCAAGUGAACCAUGACUCCUCAGUCUUUGGCGAAGUGCACCUUCACCAGGCAGUGCUGAAGUUUGGGAAAAGCCAGAAGAUUAACAGAGAAAGAUUUAUAGCAACGCUCACUUAGAUACAUUUACAGGCCAGAGAUAGCGCAAAGAUGGCCCUGGGGCUACCGACUCUGUCUGGUGGGAGGAAACAGCAAUUUCUUCUCUCCUGGCUGGAGAGAACCCAGGCAGACAAAACACUUGCCCAGCAGUACUGCAAAAGGAAUAGAGGCCAAUGUUUUGUUACGCUGGCUUCAAAACAAGCCACAACAAUCCAAACGGUGGAUGGGCAACUUUUUUCUCCUCAAACCAUCCAAAAGCAUCUCCCGGUAUUUGUUAUCAUUAAAACAGAAUUGGAGCUAUUCAUAGGUAUAUAACUUUUUACACAAGAGUAGAGUCCUGUAUCACCUUACAAUGGUGGUUUUGUUUUGUUUUGUUUUGUUUUUUGAUACAGAGUCUG